GUACUUACCUGGAAAGGGAGAUGCCACGGCCACUAAGGUGGUUUUCUCCCAGCAAGGCUCACCCAUUGCCCUUCAGGUGUGCUGAGCCCUGCGCUUUCUCCAAAUGUGGGCCACUCUGCAUAAUUUGUGAUAGUGGGAGACUGUGUCCACUCUCUCCCC